GACGAACGCUGGCGGCGUGCUUAACACAUGCAAGUCGAACGGAAAGGCCCUGCUUUUGUGGGGUGCUCGAUUGGCGAACGGGUGAGUAACACGUGAGUAACCUGCCCUUGACUUUGGGAUAACUUCAGGAAACUGGGGCUAAUACCGGAUAGGAGCUCCUGCUGCAUGGUGGGGGUUGGAAAGUUUCGGCGGUUGGGGAUGGACUCGCGGCUUAUCAGCUUGUUGGUGGGGUAGUGGCUUACCAAGGCUUUGACGGGUAGCCGGCCUGAGAGGGUGACCGGCCACAUUGGGACUGAGAUACGGCCCAGACUCCUACGGGAGGCAGCAGUGGGGAAUAGUGCACAAUGGGCGGAAGCCUGAUGCAGCAACGCCGCGUGCGGGAUGACGGCCUUCGGGUUGUAAACCGCUUUCGCCUGUGACGAAGCGUGAGUGACGGUAAUGGGUAAAGAAGCACCGGCUAACUACGUG
rnacentral:rRNA from 1 species